rnacentral:lncRNA from 1 species
UGUAAUCAACAUUAGUAGUCUUAGUCACUACGUCAUAAUUGCAAAAAAAUAAUAACGCUUAAAAUCGUCAUUCAACAGUACUUUCGAGCAGUGUGUCUAUGUGAGCGCAGUAGAAUGUCGGACUAGAUUCAACUGCGCUGUAGAAAGUAGAUAUUCAACAGCGCUGUAGAAAGUAGAUAUUCAACAGUGCAUACUCAAGCAAGCAAACGCUAUAGAUAGCAGACAUUCAGCAGUGCUUACUCAAGCAAGUGCUGACUUAGCAUCAUCGAAUUGCAGCAAGAUUGCGUUUGGUUUGGUGCGCGACCAAAACAAGAUGGGCAUGAUGUGUUUUGUUCUCUUGGUUAUUCCCUUUUCGGCGGAGCAAAAAUGUUCUAUUAUUUCAAUCUUAUGUUGUAUAGAUUAAAGAACCUACAUGUUCUGUUUCAUUUUGUAAUGAUAUGCAUACCAAACAUUGAAUGAGAUACAGAAAUAGUAAGAGAUUGAAGUAGUUACCGAAGAGGGAAUGCCAGUGAAGGCAAAGAAACCAAGCAAAGGAGCAUAAAACACACUGUCUGAGCUCAAAACUCCAAACACUGGUUUUUGGUUCACAUACUCAAAAAUUGAACCUAUCUGUCAUACACAAUUCAUUUCCAACCAAUAAGUAGCAGUAACAUGAAAUAGAAAAUGCAAUGCAAUGCAAAAUUCAGUGCAUUAGAUGCAUGUGAUGCCAAUUUCUAAUAAAAAACAUCAAAAAAUGUAAUACAAGUUAGUUUAAUUUUGAUGCAUUAUCUGUGAUACUAUCAACUUUCUAGUAAAAACAUAAAAUAUGUAACAUUGUCUCUCGUGCUACUAACUAUGGACUUUCUAAUCCAAACAUAAAAUGUGUUACAAGCCAUGAAUAAAGUAAGUACUUUCAUGCAUUAUCUAUCUAUUGUACUAGCUAUCAAAAAAUCUAGGUGCACAUAUAUGAUAAGAGUUUAAUAAAAUGUAACACAUAAUUACUUUUAUUUAAGAAUAAUAAGAGAAGAGUUUGGUUAGUACUUACAGCUGCAAUAGCAGUAAUAGCAGAAGCAAGUAAAUAAACAUAGAAUGGUAUCUGAAAUCCACCAAUAUUAUUAUUAUUUUCACUGUUUUUGUUGGUUUCAUCCUUAGCCCAUGGUGGAGGUUCAUUAGAAUCAGGCUUAGCCCAUGAAGGUAUUUUUUCAUCUGAUGACUUGCUUGAUUCUGCAGAGCCUUGUGUCACUGCAACAACCACUAAUGGUUUUGUUCUUGUUGAUGUUGUUGUUCUCUUCUUAUGACCAUAGUAACCAUGAAAACAAAACAACCUUGUACUAAUAUUCCUAUGAUAUGUUGUGUGUUGUGGUGAUGCAUGUUUAGUAUAUAGGAUUGAUGAUAAGGUAGUGGUAGUGGUAGUUGCAGCCAUGGUUUGUAACAUAAGAAUUAGUUAAUGUGUUAAUAGUUCUUUCAAUGCAGAAGCUAAUAUGCUAGUUCCUUUAUCAAAAUGCUUCUUUCUUCAGCCAUUCAUAUCUUAUCUUCAAUUUGGGCUUUUAAUGUUCAAUGAUCCUUAACUAGAGAAAAGAGAAAAGGCCCACUUCAAUUUUAUAAUUUAGAUUUUUAAGGCUUAUAUCUUAUAAUAUUACUUUUUUCCUAAAGAUUCAUAUAGAAUAUCUAAUAUCUAAUCUAAUUAUGAAUUUUAUUUUUUUAAUUAAUUUUAAAGUGAUACCAAACUCAUGAGCUUUCAUAUGUUAACCAAUGAUACCUCUCACCAAAAAAGUGAUCCAAUGCAUAAAACUUUCACUUAAUAGAGUCUGAUAAUAAUAGUUAUAUGCAGUCACUUAUUAUAACUAUAAUUUGAAAGAAAAUAGAUUAUACCAUAUUUAUAUUGAUUUUGAACAUGAAUAAUGGUUCCAAUCAAUAGAAACCUCUAUACAUUUAGAUAUCUUUUAUAAAUAUUUUUUGUUGUAUUUAGAUUAAUUUUUUUAUUAAUUUUAUAGAAACAUGUAUUAGGUGUUGCAGAAUUGAGAAGAGGACUAAAAUGUGAACACUGAAGUCUAUUAUGAUAACAUCAUGAGGCCAAAACAAGAAAGCAUAAGAAUAACCAAACCAACCUUAAAACUUGGACAUGAACUUAGUGUGAAUAUGAAUGUGCUUUUGAUGCACUCUUCCUUUUUAUCUAAGCCUCUUUCACCCUUCACCCUUCAUCUAUCAACCUUAAAAACAACAUUAAUCAUUCCCUUUUUGUCUCUAACAUAAACUCAUAGUGUUCACAAAUGGAAGCAAGAUUUUUUGCACAGAACAAGAGUCAAAUACUAACUUCAGCUCAUUGGAAUAAGGUGAACAAAUAUAAACCACAAAAUCCUUUUAUUGUUGCAGUGCUCACAAGGCCUUCUUCUUCUUCAGAUGACAUUGCAGGACAAACAAGAAAAAUAAAUGUCUACAAAGAUAACUUCUUUGAUCUCUUAGCCAUAAACCAUUUAUCAAAAACUGUUCAAGCAUCUACAGGUUAAUUCACCUUUCUCCCUUUCUUGUAGUUGUAUUUUAUCUCAAGGAUAAGUUUUAUAAUUUGACAUAUUGAUGCAUUGAGAUUCAUUUUUUAUAUUGGGCUCGUAACUAUAACACAACCUCCACAUAUUAUCCGACUUUAUAAUCGGUUAGGUAAAAUUUUGCAACAAAGCGCAACAUGACGUUUUUUAGAGACAAUUUUUUAUGGCAAAGGGAUGAGAAAAACUAUGAAACCGCCUAUAUAAGUUUAAUUCGAACUCAAGUGCUCACACUUUCUGCCCCGUAGUUCCACCAACUAAGCUGAUGUAGGAAAUGCUAUAUUAGUUACUUGUUUGAUCCAUGUAGCCGAUUAUUAAUAAUGGAAAAGGACUUCAUUAUGGUUGUUGAAGUUGUAUAUUUUCUUUCCAUUCAUCUUUAUGUUGAGUUCUUUGCAGGAUUCAGUAACAAUAAGAGUGGUUAUGAGAGCUUGACAGAGGCAGCUAUAAUGGCUUCACAGAAAUUGAAUCCUAUUCAGCAAAGAGAGGUGGUCAUUGAAUCUCUUUACAAAGCUUUCCCAAGGCCAAUACUUUCAUUGGUCAGUUUAUUUACUCAUUAUUAUUAAUUUGAUUUGAUCUUCUUUUUGUGCUUUCUCUCAUGCCAACUAAAGCACAUGUUCUAAACUUCUCUCAUAUAUGAUUUAUACAUAUAGUUCAUAAUAAUUAAUUAUGUUAUAUGAUUUACAUAUAGCACCAAAUAUAGGAAUUAUUAUGCACCAAGUAGCCAGGCUAAAAAAAUAUACAAAGUGAUUCACAUUUUACAAUUUAGCUUCUAAGCACUUAAUAGGUUUAGUAUAGCCCCUGAAUUUAGCUUCAUUUGUUUGGUAUUAUAGAGUUAUAGAAGAACCAAACAUUAGUAGUGAAGCUAUAUAUAUUGUUUAGUUUUGUCCCAUGCUUAAUUACAAUGUUGUUUUAUGCCAAAGUGUUUCUUAAGCCAUCUUUCUAUAGAAAGUUUAAAAAUGGUAAAAAAUGAUUAAACUCAAAUAUUAGUUAGGCUAAAUAAUUUAUUAUAUAGGUGGCAAAAACCGUUACAAACAAUAAAAUAAUAAUAAUAUAAAUAAUAACUAACAAGAUAAACAAAGUUUAACUAAAUCGUAGAGAAAAUAACACGCUAUGAAUUCAAAUAUAUUUAACACUUUCAACAUAUUCAGUUUUCUAAUUCACUAGCAUUGUAAUUUUGAGGAAUGAAUAUAUGUAUGUUGUUAUAUGUGAGUGUGACUCUAUUGGCAGAUAAGGAAGGUGGUACCAGAAUCUAAAAUAGCAAGAGAAUGUUUUGCUGCCUUCACCUCUCUCUUCUUUGUUUGGUUAGUUGGGCCAUCUGAGGUAAACAACUCUAGUUGCAUGUGUUCAAAAAUUCAAAAAUGUGCAUGGACUUGCAUAUUUUUUAACCACAAACAAAUACUUAAAUAGUAUCUCUGAAUUCUUUUUAAUUUGUAACACUUAAGUUAAGAAUCAUAAUUACUAUUUAUUGAACUCUCCUUAUGUGUUUAAGUCCCAACAAUUGGUGCUUUCAUUGAGAGUGCGUCAUAGAAAUGACUACCUAUAUGAUAAAUUUAAGGUACAUAUUAAAUGAAUACUGAUAGGUGAGUAAAACCGUCAAAAGAGUAAGAGCUACUAUCGGGUCAGUGCCUAUAGAGUGAAAACUGCCAUAGGCGUCAAUCCUUGGGGAUGAUAAUGUUAAGAGUUCCACAAUGAAGUAAUAACAUGAUAUUCAAUACGCUACCAUAUACUAAUCUCUAUAUGAACAUUGAUGAACAACAUAAAAGAAUUACAAUGGAUUGUGUAUAUGACUCAAUGUAGCAGACCAGAGAAAAAAGGUAUCUAAUUUGGAGUAAUAAGCUUGAGAUGUGAAUAGAAAAAGGGUGUAAACAUUUGAGAAGAGGAAAGGUUAGAGUAUGAGACUAUAAGGCUAUUUAUAACCAUCCCUCUUGUCUUGUUCUUCAGCUUCCUUGUUGGCUGUUUGAACUGACUUGAACCAUAGGAAGGCCUGUAAUCAACAUUAGUAGUCUUAGUCACUACGUCAUAAUUGCAAAAAAAUAAUAACGCUUAAAAUCGUCAUUCAACAGUACUUUCGAGCAGUGUGUCUAUGUGAGCGCAGUAGAAUGUCGGACUAGAUUCAACUGCGCUGUAGAAAGUAGAUAUUCAACAGCGCUGUAGAAAGUAGAUAUUCAACAGUGCAUACUCAAGCAAGCAAACGCUAUAGAUAGCAGACAUUCAGCAGUGCUUACUCAAGCAAGUGCUGACUUAGCAUCAUCGAAUUGCAGCAAGAUUGCGUUUGGUUUGGUGCGCGACCAAAACAAGAUGGGCAUGAUGUGUUUUGUUCUCUUGGUUAUUCCCUUUUCGGCGGAGCAAAAAUGUUCUAUUAUUUCAAUCUUAUGUUGUAUAGAUUAAAGAACCUACAUGUUCUGUUUCAUUUUGUAAUGAUAUGCAUACCAAACAUUGAAUGAGAUACAGAAAUAGUAAGAGAUUGAAGUAGUUACCGAAGAGGGAAUGCCAGUGAAGGCAAAGAAACCAAGCAAAGGAGCAUAAAACACACUGUCUGAGCUCAAAACUCCAAACACUGGUUUUUGGUUCACAUACUCAAAAAUUGAACCUAUCUGUCAUACACAAUUCAUUUCCAACCAAUAAGUAGCAGUAACAUGAAAUAGAAAAUGCAAUGCAAUGCAAAAUUCAGUGCAUUAGAUGCAUGUGAUGCCAAUUUCUAAUAAAAAACAUCAAAAAAUGUAAUACAAGUUAGUUUAAUUUUGAUGCAUUAUCUGUGAUACUAUCAACUUUCUAGUAAAAACAUAAAAUAUGUAACAUUGUCUCUCGUGCUACUAACUAUGGACUUUCUAAUCCAAACAUAAAAUGUGUUACAAGCCAUGAAUAAAGUAAGUACUUUCAUGCAUUAUCUAUCUAUUGUACUAGCUAUCAAAAAAUCUAGGUGCACAUAUAUGAUAAGAGUUUAAUAAAAUGUAACACAUAAUUACUUUUAUUUAAGAAUAAUAAGAGAAGAGUUUGGUUAGUACUUACAGCUGCAAUAGCAGUAAUAGCAGAAGCAAGUAAAUAAACAUAGAAUGGUAUCUGAAAUCCACCAAUAUUAUUAUUAUUUUCACUGUUUUUGUUGGUUUCAUCCUUAGCCCAUGGUGGAGGUUCAUUAGAAUCAGGCUUAGCCCAUGAAGGUAUUUUUUCAUCUGAUGACUUGCUUGAUUCUGCAGAGCCUUGUGUCACUGCAACAACCACUAAUGGUUUUGUUC